rnacentral:rRNA from 1 species
UCUCUCUGAAUCUGCGAACGGCUCCGCACACCAGUUGUAAACUAUAGCAAGAACGUCUGUGAUCCUUCGGGAGCGCAGUCAUACGGAUAACCCUGGUAAUUCUGAGGCUAAUACGAGAACGUACAACCUGAUCGACCGGGCAACUGGAAGGUCAGGAGGUGUGUGAUCAAGCACGAGGAAUCUGCUAGGAACAGUCGCACGCCUGGACCGCGCAAAAACCAGUCGGAAGCCUCACGGUUUUCGUCUGAGCGGCACUUGCUUUGUGCUUCUGACCUAUCAACUAGAUGGCAGCGUAAUGGACAUGCUAUGGUUACAACGGGUACAGAGGAUAAGGGUUCGAUCCUGGAGAGUGGGCCUGAGAGAUU